UGGGGAAUUUUGGACAAUGGGGGCAACCCUGAUCCAGCCAUGCCGCGUGAGUGAAGAAGGCCUUCGGGUUGUAAAGCUCUUUCGGCCGGGAAAAAAUCGCAUCAGUUAAUACCUGGUGUGGAUGAUGGUACCGGAAUAAGAAGCACCGGCUAACUACGUGCCAGCAGCCGCGGUAAUACGUAGGGUGCGAGCGUUAAUCGGAAUUACUGGGCGUAAAGCGUGCGCAGGCGGUUUGAUAAGACAGGCGUGA
rnacentral:rRNA from 1 species